GACGAACGCUGGCGGCGUGCCUAAUACAUGCAAGUAGGACGCAGUUGCGAACGGGUUAGUAACGCGUAGGUAACUGCCUAUUAGAGGGGGAUAACUAUUGGAAACGAUAGCUACUACCGCAUACUCGUAGAUGGACCUGCGUUGUAGUAGCUAGUAGGUAGGGUAAUGGCCUACCUAGGCGACGAUACAUAGCCGACCGGGGAGGGUGCUCGGCCACACUGGGACUGAGGCACGGCCCAGAAUCCGACGGGAGGCAGCAGGAGGGAAUCUUCGGCAAGGGGGGGAACCCUGACCGAGCAACGCCGCGUGGUCUAAGAAGGUGUUCGGAUCGUAAAGGUCUGUUGUUAAGGAAGCGUUACUUAACCAGAAAGGGACGGCUAACUACGUGCCAGCAGCCGCGGUAAUUC
rnacentral:rRNA from 1 species